rnacentral:hammerhead_ribozyme from 1 species
AUCUAGCUGACGAGUCUCAAAUAGGACGAAACACAUGUCAAUCUGGAU